rnacentral:rRNA from 1 species
AACGCGAAGAACCUUACCAGGGUUUGACAUACAAGUAGUAGGGAACUGAAAAGGGACCGACCCUUCGGGGAGCUUGAACAGGUGCUGCAUGGCUGUCGUCAGCUCGUGUCGUGAGAUGUUCGGUUAAGUCCGCUAACGAGCGCAACCCUCGCUGUGUGUUACAAGUGUCACACGGAACUGCCGGUCAUAAACCGGAGGAAGGUGGGGAUGGCGUCAAAUCAUCAUGCCCCUUAUGUUCAGGGCUACACACGUGCUACAAUGGCCGAUACAAAGGGCAGCGAAGGAGUAAUCUGGAGCCAAUCCCAGAAAAUCGGUCCCAGUUCGGAUUGUGGGCUGCAACUCGCCCACAUGAAGUCGGAGUUGCUAGUAAUCGCGAAUCAGAAUGUCGCGGUGAAUGCGUUCCCGGGUCUUGUACACACCG